AUACAUUUUUCGGUCUUUUGGCUAAGAUCAAGUGUAGUAUCUACUUUUAUCAGUUUAAUAUCUGAUAUAUGGACCAUGUGUGUACUUUGAUAUUAAUUUUUUUGUGGUGAGGGUCCAUAGUAGUUUGCCACUGGACCCUUGUGUGAUGCCUAACCAUAGCACUGCUGGUAGGAUAUGACAUACAUU
rnacentral:snRNA from 1 species